UCCGAAAUGGUCUAGUGGCUAGGAUUUACCGCUCUCAAGCGUCGAGUACUCCUCGAACUGAAAUCCGGUAAGGCCGGGGUUCAAUUCCCCGUUUCGGAA
rnacentral:tRNA from 1 species